CCCAACCCAGGGAUCAAACCCAGGUCUUCGACACUACAGAUCUCCUGGAGGAAGCUUCCUUAAUCCUAGAAUUCUGGUCUCCAUGUUGCUUUACUGCCCUUAAAGAUUACAAGGAGUGAAGAAGAUGGUGAAGUAGAAGGAUGCACACUCAUCUUCUCCUGCAAGAACACCAAAAUCACAACUAGCUGCUGAACAACCAUCAACAGGAGAAUGUUGGAUCCCACCAAGAAAAGGUACCCUGUGUCCAAGGGCAAAUGAGAAACCACAACAAAAUGGUAGGAGGGGUGAAAUCACAUUUAGAAUCAAACCUCAGACCUACCAGAG